GCUGGGGCUCGCGGUCUAGCCUGGGUGGAGGUGGGUAGAUAAGGGGUCCCAGGCGGCGUUGGUCCGCAGAAGAUCCCAGCCGUCUGUCUGGAAGGUGGAGUGUGCAGGUUCAGGUUCAGGCCGGGUGGAGUGAGGGGAUGAAGCCACACCAGCCCGUGAGGCCCGACCCCUCUGGGCUUCCAGAAAGGUUUUCCAAAGCUGGCGGGCAUCACGAACGAGGGGAAGGCUGGGAUCUGGAGGAAGCGGCACCCGGAAGGCAGGAUGUCCCGCUGACUCCUGACCGCCCUCCCACAGCACCUGCCAGGGCUGCUGGAGUCCGCCCUUCUGUGCCAUCCUGAUGCGCUCCAUGCAGUGGUGGGUGGGCCAGUGCCCCCGUAGGUGCCAACGGCUUGACUGCGGCCUCCAGGACACUUCCUCCUCACUGGGUCCCUGGGCCAACAGCAUCUUCUGCUUGAUCGGGCCGCUGGAAUUGGGCACAGGGUUUCUCUGUGAGGGCAGGAACCCCAAGGGGGACCAGGCCCUGAGCAUCCUGCCGGUGGAGCAGGUGGGCCCGGAGCCAGGGGAGGGAGCAGGAGGUCUGGGGGCGGGGCAGGCUUUCUCACAUGCUCUCCACCUUCAGGAUAGACUUCUUUGGUUCCCCAGGCAUCCCCGAAAGGGCUGAUCCAGCGCGUUUUCUACGGAGCCAUUGCAAUGACACUGCUCUUGCUCCGUCUCUGCCCGCUCAUGUCCGAACCCGUGGCAUCUGGAAGUUCCCAGGCUGGGGGUCGAAUCGGAACUGCACCACAAGCCACAGCAACGCAGGAUCCAUAAUUCACAAGUGGCCCAGCCAGGAGCCCCUGGGCAAUCAUGACUUUAUUUCUGCCUCCACCGCAAGCCUCUUACUGCUGCCCCCUCCCCAUCCGUUCCGGACGCUGCCCUCCAGGACAUAUGGAUCUGAGAUCAAGAGUUAGCACCAUGGGAAGUCCUGGCCCUUGCUUCUGCCUGAGAGCCUUCUCCUGCUGAGGGGACCACCACUGAUAUGGUUGGCUCCCUGAGGAAUUAUUAUCCCAUUUCACAGAUGAGGAAACAGGCUUUGGGAGAUUAAGCAACUUGCCCAGAGUCACUAGAAACGUGGCUAGUGGAGUGCCCAAUUCUUCCAUUUUGUUAUUAUUAUUAUUUUUUUUUACUGGAUUCCCCUGCAAGCAAGAAAGAAAGAAAGCAAAAAAGCAAGCAAGCAAGCAAGCAAGCAAGAAAGAAACCAGAGCUGCCGGAGGAGCCAAACGCCCAAGGAAUCUGAAGCGAAACCCCACCUGUUUCUGUAGGAGGUAUCUCGGGAAGAGCAAAGCGUGAACUUCUGGCGAGCAUCCUAAACUCAAGUCGUUAUCUGAUGUUCAGAUGCCAGGGGAGAGAGCAGGGUUAUCACUCCGUAAAAUGCCUGGGGAGCAACUGGGAAAAACAAAGUUGUUUUCCUCAAAAGUGGCUUGUGCAGCCACAAGAACCCAUGUGGCAGUGGCCACAUCCUUGACUUCGACCUCAAAGGGCCAACCCCCCACCCGUUAAGGGAUUGUGGAGACUGGGAGGCCGACUGGAGGAAAAAUGGGAUGUCCCUGGGGGUGGGUGGCAGGGUGGGGGCGGCAAGGAGCCGCCAGCAGCCCAAGGAAUAAAGAUGAGGUUGGAAAGCAGAUCAUCUUCCAAGAAGUGGUCACCGGGUCGACUUCUUCCUCCAGAAGCCACAGAGAAACAGAGGAGGCCCUGAGGAGUCUGACACACAGGGUCCAGCCCCAGGCUGUGCGACAUCACGCCAGUCACAGCCUCUCUCAACCAGGAUAAGAAUCAAAAGCUUGGCAUUCCCGCUGUGGCACAACGGGAUCAGUGGUGUCUCGGGAGCCCUGGGACGCAGGUUCGAUCAGCCUGGCACAGUGGGUUAAGGAUCCAGCGUUGUUGCAGCUGCGGCAUAGGUUGCAACUACGGCUCAGAUCUGAUCCUUGGCCUGGGGAACUCCAUAUGCCAUGGGGCAGUCGAAAAAGAAAGAAUAAAAAAUCAAAAGUUUGAAGAUCAUGGGAGGAACCCCACACAGAGGGCCUCCAGGAACCUACUUCCGAGCAGACGUUUGCUGGUGUUCAUUGUAUUUGGAUGAUUCGCUAGAAAAACCCACAGAACUCCGCAAGGCUGUUAUGCUCGCAGUUAAUGGGUUAUUUCAGCAGAAGGGUACAGAUUAAAAUUAGCUGUGGGGGAGCUCCCGUUGUGGCGCAGUGGAAAUGAACCUGACUAGUAUCCAUGAGGA